CACGUAGGGCGCAAGCGUUGUCCGGAAUUACUGGGCGUAAAGGGAGCGUAGGUGGUUAGGUAGGCCUUCCGGGAAAUCUUCAGGCUUAACCUGAAAAGGUCGGGGGGGACUGCCUGGCUAGAGGACGGGAGAGGAGCGCGGAAUUCCCGGUGUAGCGGUGAAAUGCGUAGAGAUCGGGAGGAAGGCCGGUGGCGAAGGCGGCGCUCUGGAACGUUUCUGACACUGAGGCUCGAAAGCGUGGGGAGCAAACAGG
rnacentral:rRNA from 1 species